CAUGCAGUCGAGGGGUAUUGGUUUUCGGACCAAGAGACCGCGCACGGGUGCGUAACGCGUAUGCAAUCUACCUUUGCAGAGGGAUAGCCCAGAGAAAUUUGGAUUAAUACCUCAUAGUAUAGUACUUGGCAUCAAGGAACUAUUAAAGUCACAACGGCAAAAGAUGAGCAUGCGUCCCAUUAGCUAGUUGGUAAGGUAACGGCUUACCAAGGCUACGAUGGGUAGGGGUCCUGAGAGGGAGAUCCCCCCACACUGGUACUGAGACACGGACCAGACUCCUACGGGAGGCAGCAGUGAGGAAUAUUGGACAAUGGGCGCAAGCCUGAUCCAGCCAUGCCGCGUGCAGGAUGACGGUCCUAUGGAUUGUAAACUGCUUUUAUACAGGAAGAAACACUCCGACGUGUCGGAGCUUGACGGUACUGUAAGAAUAAGGAUCGGCUAACUCCGUG
rnacentral:rRNA from 1 species